UUUUGGGGGAAGACGUCUCCAAGUGGGCUCUUUCCCUGGUCUUUGUGUAAGAUGCUUGGUGGUGGCAGCAUAUAGUUCAAGGACAAGGCAAAGUUUGUACCUUGGGGAAGUUUUUAACCUAAAAUGGUAAGAAUAAGAUUAGGGGGUCUAUCACCCAGGUCCCCACAUCUGUACCCUAGAGUUCAGAGUGAGGAAGGAACCUUGACAACUUAACAGUGGGGAAGGAACCUU